rnacentral:rRNA from 1 species
AUUGAACGCUGGCGGCAGGCCUAACACAUGCAAGUCGAACGAGUGGCGGACGGGUGAGUAAUGUCUGGGAAACUGCCUGAUGGAGGGGGAUAACUACUGGAAACGGUAGCUAAUACCGCAUACCAUCGGAUGUGCCCAGAUGGGAUUAGCUUGUAGGUGAGGGAACGGCUCACCUAGGCGACGAUCCCUAGCUGGUCUGAGAGGAUGACCAGCGACAAUGGAACGGAGAAACGGUCCAGACGCUUACGGGAGGCAGCAGUGGGGAAUAUUGCACAAUGGGCGCAAGCCUGAUGCAGCCAUGCCGCGUGUAGGAAGAAGGCCUUCGGGUUGUAAAGGACUUGCAGCGGGGAGGCGUUACCCGCAGAAGAAGCACCGGCUAACUCCGUGCCAGCAGCCGCGGUAAUAC